rnacentral:rRNA from 1 species
AACGUAGGACGCAAGCGUUAUCCGGAGUUACUGGGCGUAAAGCGCGAGCAGGCGGCUCGACAAGUUCGAUGUGAAAGCGCCCGGCUCAACCGGGCGAGGCCAUUGGAAACUAUCGAGCUGGAGGGCAGUAGAGGCAGGCGGAAUUCCGGGUGGAGUGGUGAAAUGCGUAGAGAUCCGGAGGAACACCAGAGGCGAAGGCGGCCUGCUGGGCUGCACCUGACGCUGAGCCGCGAAAGCCAGGGGAGCAAACGGG